GUGGUUGUGGCUCAGUGGUAGAGCACUUGCCUAUAGCAUGCGUGAGGAGGCAACUGGGUUCGAUUCUCAGCACCACA
rnacentral:tRNA from 1 species